UACACUGGUGGCUGGCACUACUGAUCCUUAGUACAAGGUUCAAGUCCUUGCAGUGUA
rnacentral:sRNA from 1 species